rnacentral:rRNA from 1 species
CCUACGGGAGGCAGCAGUGGGGAAUAUUGCACAAUGGGGGAAACCCUGAUGCAGCGACGCCGCGUGAGUGAAGAAGUAAUUCGUUACGUAAAGCUCUAUCAGCAGGGAAGAAACACUGACCUUACGGUCAGCAGACGGUACCUGAGUAAGAAGCCCCGGCUAACUACGUGCCAGCAGCCGCGGUAAUACGUAGGGGGCAAGCGUUAUCCGGAUUUACUGGGUGUAAAGGGAGCGUAGACGGCCAGGCAAGCCUGGAGUGAAAGCCCGGGGCCCAACCCCGGGACUGCUCUGGGAACUGUCCGGCUGGAGUGCGGGAGGGGCAGGCGGAAUUCCUGGUGUAGCGGUGAAAUGCGUAGAUAGCAGGAGGAACACCGGCGGCGAAGGCGGCCUGCUGGACCGCGACUGACGUUGAGGCUCGAAAGCGUGGGGAGCAAACAGGAUUAGAUACCCCGGUAGUC